AUAUCCUAUCUAUUAACAAUAGAAACCGCUUCACAUAAUACUGUUAGGGGCAAAAGAGGCGCGUACCCAGCACCUUCUCCCUCGUCCCCCGACGCUGUAGCUUCAAGAAAAUUGCGCGUUUUUCAAAUCCCUCUCCAACUGAGAAUCUCACUUUUGUCCUUCAUCACUCAUCACACAAGUUUUCCAUCCACCUUAUAAAUACCCUAAUCAAUGGAAGGCAUGGAGAAUGAAGGUUAGGGUUGUAAGGAUUCCUCAUCUCAAUUCUUGGUAAAGUUCCAUCUUCUCCAUGCUUAUUUUUUCUACCCAUAACUUUUAUGCAUGAUAAACAUUUUUCCCUUCUCAUUUCACGCACUUGAAAUAUUUGUUCUUUUUGCAAAUUUAUAUGCCAGAUUGUUAAAAUUUGUGAGUUGUUAUCCCAGUAUCAAUUUUAGUUAAACUACUUGAUUUAUCAAUUUUAGUUAAACUACUUGAUUUUGGGUGUGGGUAGUAGUGGGGAUAGAAAUAGAAUUAGUAAUUGAGAUAAAAUGCAUUGCAGGUGUUUGAUAAAAUGCCCAUGUGGAAAAUUGUGGUAGCUACAAUAGAACUAUAAGUCAUGGACUUAAUUUUGAAUGUCUUUAUCUGUGGCCUUUAUAAUAUGCAUCAUUUUAACAAUAUUAGACAGGUUUUUUCAGAUAUAAUCUUCUAACUAUACAUACAGUUUUCUUUGUGUGCAUAAAAAAUCUCUGGCAAAUACUAUAUUCUAAAGGUUUGUACACAAUUUCAUAUCAGUUUUGCCAUAGAUGAUUAUAUAAGUUUGAUUCACUAGGCGACGAGAUUCAAUGGACAACUUUAGAAGACAAUUGUGAGUUGUGGAAGUGGACGACAAUUUUUUCCUAACCUUAAGAUGGUUUUGGUCUGCAGAUCCCAUGAUUGUUCCAGCUAUUGCAACAGGAAAUAAUGGCAGAAAGUUUGGUAUGAGAGAUGAAAAUUGCUUGACUACAUAUAUGUAUGUAAGGAGCUAAAAGUAAUGGAAAGAAGAAAAAUUAUAGCUUUCGGGGAUUUUGGUCAUCGAGCAUUUCACAAAGGAGUUUGGAGCUUUUGUCAUUCUCGUAGUUAAUGCCUUAGACUCAAUGAAAUGUGUGGCUGCUGUAAAAAGGAAAGGAGAAGUGCAAGAAGAGGAUAUUUGCAUGAAGUUUCUUACUUCCUUUUCAUUGAUGAAGAAAGAGGUGAGUGAAGAUCCAUUCAUCUUGCUUCUUGCAAAGGUAGUAGAAGUUUUAUGUAUUUUGAUUGUCUUAAUUUAAUUUUUUUCCCGGUUGAUUUGGAAGAAGCUGAAUACAUAGUGUUCAAGUACAUAUGGUGAAUAGAGGAGGAAUAGAGAAAUACAACUUAUGAUAUGAGGUUGGGACUUGGGAAUUUGUAAGAAUGUGACAAAUUAACUAUAUCUUUAUGAAUUGUUGAUGUCAAACAUGAAUACAAGAUUGAUCAAGUAGUUGGUACUUAGAGAAAAUUUGUCUCAAUGAUGAAAUUGGUAAUGUCCAUGUUAAGAAAGAUUGUGAAGGCUGUGAAAAUUGACAAUGAUGAAUAUGAGUUUAAGAUUGUGAAGGUUGUGUCAA